rnacentral:rRNA from 1 species
GCGGCGUGCUUAACACAUGCAAGUCGAACGGUGAACACGGAGCUUGCUCUGUGGGAUCAGUGGCGAACGGGUGAGUAACACGUGAGCAACCUGCCCCUGACUCUGGGAUAAGCGCUGGAAACGGCGUCUAAUACUGGAUAUGUGACGUGACCGCAUGGUCUGCGUCUGGAAAGAAUUUCGGUUGGGGAUGGGCUCGCGGCCUAUCAGCUUGUUGGUGAGGUAAUGGCUCACCAAGGCGUCGACGGGUAGCCGGCCUGAGAGGGUGACCGGCCACACUGGGACUGAGACACGGCCCAGACUCCUACGGGAGGCAGCAGUGGGGAAUAUUGCACAAUGGGCGCAAGCCUGAUGCAGCAACGCCGCGUGAGGGACGACGGCCUUCGGGUUGUAAACCUCUUUUAGCAGGGAAGAAGCGAAAGUGACGGUACCUGCAGAAAAAGCGCCGGCUAACUACGUGCCAGCAGCCGCGGUAAUACGUAGGGCGCAAGCGUUAUCCGGAAUUAUUGGGCGUAAAGAGCUCGUAGGCGGUUUGUCGCGUCUGCUGUGAAAUCCGGAGGCUCAACCUCCGGCCUGCAGUGGGUACGGGCAGACUAGAGUGCGGUAGGGGAGAUUGGAAUUCCUGGUGUAGCGGUGGAAUGCGCAGAUAUCAGGAGGAACACCGAUGGCGAAGGCAGAUCUCUGGGCCGUAACUGACGCUGAGGAGCGAAAGGGUGGGGAGCAAACAGGCUUAGAUACCCUGGUAGUCCACCCCGUAAACGUUGGGAACUAGUUGUGGGGUCCAUUCCACGGAUUCCGUGACGCAGCUAACGCAUUAAGUUCCCCGCCUGGGGAGUACGGCCGCAAGGCUAAAACUCAAAGGAAUUGACGGGGACCCGCACAAGCGGCGGAGCAUGCGGAUUAAUUCGAUGCAACGCGAAGAACCUUACCAAGGCUUGACAUAUACGAGAACGGGCCA